CCUACUUGAGUAACGAAUUUCAUAUCGACCGUUCAUAUAAUUGCAGAAUAUCCAAUUAAGAGAGAAAAUUUCCUUGGCUAAGGCGCAGUGUGCAAAAAAAUCGGAUACCGUAGUACAAGCAUCUAUUUCAAAACUACCUGAAGAAUUUCAAAAUGCCGUGAGAUCAUGUUUUGAAGCCGCGAGAAAAAAAAAUACAAAAGGUCGUCGAUACACGUUAGAAUGGAUUUAUGAGUGCAUGUUGAUACGUAUAAAAAGCAGGAAUACGUAUGAAUUUAUACGUAAAAGAAAUAUUUUACCCCUUCCUUCUGUACAAACAUUAAAUAAAUACCUCAGCAAAAUCAGCUGUUCUGCAUAUGGAUUCCAAUCCUCUACUUUCUUUAGUUUAAAAGAAAGAUGUGAGGCGAUGAAGAAGGAGGAGAAACGAGGAGUUAUUUUAGUGGAUGAAAAUUGCUUACAUGUUAACACCAGCGCAUUUGAAACCGAAAGGUUUUCAAGUAAUGAAUGUUCCUCUUGCAACUGAAGUGUUUGGUCACGAAAUUUCGGUUGCCAUGGCUCACUAUCAACCCUAUUGCGAGGAAUUGAAGGAUUCAACUGCAACACAAAAAUUUAUUGAUCUUGUAUUCAAUUUGAUACAAGCUAUGUCUUCGCGUAUACCAAGAGAUGCUCUGUACGUGAAUGAAAAUUGCAGACGAAGAAAGGCAAUCCAGGAAUUUUUAGAAUUCCUUGCAGACUGGGAAAAGCUCGAAAAAAAAUACCUGUGUCAAGGAGCACGUUAACAGGAUUAAAAGUAACUUUGCGGGCAACACUUGAAAUUUUGGAUAUGCUUAAUGUCGCAUGUGAUUACAAGUAUUUGAUGACAGCAACCCUAUCUCAAGAUCCAUUGGAGAGAUUUUUCUCCAUCAUGAGAUAUUCGUGUGGAGGAAACGAUCACCCUGAUCCCAAAAUGUUUGCACAAGUUUACCGAUUGGCGUCUUGUUUUUCCCUAAUACGCC